GUUUUAGUGUAAGUAUGUCUCAGGCAAUAUUUGGAACAUACUUACACUAAAA
rfam:Equus caballus chromosome 8, whole genome shotgun sequence.